rnacentral:rRNA from 1 species
UUACUGAGUUACCGCUCUAUAACCCUUUGUGAACGUACCUAACCGUUGCUUCGGCGGGCAGGGGAAGCCUCUCGCGGGCCUCCCCUCCCGGCGCCGGCCCCCACCACGGGGACGGGGCGCCCGCCGGAGGAAACCAAACUCUAUUUACACGACGUCUCUUCUGAGUGGCACAAGCAAAUAAUUAAAACUUUUAACAACGGAUCUCUUGGUUCUGGCAUCGAUGAAGAACGCAGCGAAAUGCGAUAAGUAAUGUGAAUUGCAGAAUUCAGUGAAUCAUCGAAUCUUUGAACGCACAUUGCGCUCGCCAGCAUUCUGGCGAGCAUGCCUGUUCGAGCGUCAUUUCAACCCUCAAGCACCGCUUGGUUUUGGGGCCCCACGGCACACGUGGGCCCUUAAAGGUAGUGGCGGACCCUCCCGGAGCCUCCUUUGCGUAGUAACUAACGUCUCGCACUGGGAUCCGGAGGGACUCUUGCCGUAAACCCCCCCAAUUCUUUACAGGUUGACCUCGGAUCAGGUAGGAAUACCCGCUGAACUUAAGCAUAUCAAUAAG